AGCAGAAUACACCAAGACGCCCCCCUCGCAUGGAUGUGUCAAUGAUCACCCCAGAAUCCGCCACAAGCUGGGGUCCCUCAUAGAGCUUCACCCUGUCCAGGAUUCCAGGAUAGGAGUAUCCAUUGGUGCUAGGGUGCCAGUGGGCACUGUGCCACCAUGCCUGGGGCCUUGCUUUUCCCCAGCCCCCCUUGAGCUCACCAGGCCUGAGAGAGAAGGGAGGGAGGGAAAGGGAGGCAGGAAGGAGAGGGAAGGGGGGUGCUUUUCUCAGGCCUGGGGCCCCUAGCUCUUUGUCCAGCUCCUUUUGCAUCUCAAAGCACCAGCCGCAUUCCAAGCGAGGAUUGGGUUGCCAUGACAAUAAGCACAAUGGGCUGGGGGGUGAAGUCACCCGCUUCCCAGGCUCUAGUCCACCCCCUUUUAUCCCCUGUCCUGGCACCCCACAGCCCCAGGCACCUUAAAGGGGAACCAACCCAGGUUCCUGGACUCUGGGCUCUUGGCCAUGGAAAGUCCAGCCUCUAAGCAGACCCAUUUCCCCUCCCUUCCUGUUCAUCUCCACCAACUAGGGCUACUUGUUGGAGAGAAAUGCAAAGUUGUGGACAAAGUGUUGAACCGAGGCCUGUGAAGUCAGGGCCUUGAUUUUCUCUUCUGUAAAUGAUGAUGCCUUCCAGGUCAGAUGAUCCCUAUCCACGUUGAUAAGACAGGUUCCAGGUCAUACCAACUAAGGGACCAGAUGUGAUGUGCCCCUUCACAGAUUGGCCUGGGUUUGGAGGCUUCUGGAGAACUGUAAAGGGCAUCUAACCCAAUGCCCUCAUUUUACAGACGGGAAAAUGGGUCAUGGAGGAGUGACUUCACCAACAUCACUCAUAGGUGCUUGUGUCCGUGGUGAGAAGGGUGAUGGAGAGAAGUGGCUGCAGUUCCCACCCAUGGAGAGGUCACUGGUGAAUCCCAGCUAAAGAGGAAGGACAGGCCCGGCCUGAGUCCCACAGGAUUCCUCCAUUUGGAAGUGAUUGAACUGCAUAUCCCUUACAUACCAACUGCCAAGCCAGGGUCACUGUUCAUGGUCUGAACGAUUUCCAUGCCCUGGGGUUGUAUAGUAAAGAAAAAGCUGUGAUGCAGGCUUACCAUCUGAGUCCUUCUGAUUGGGAUUGGGUACCAGGCGGCAGUUAUCGGGACCAGGAGGCACAUAAUCUGGGAUGCCAUCAUUGUCAUCAUCCCCAUCACACUCAUCUCCAAGUCCAUCGUUAUCAGAGUCCAGCUGGGAGCUAUUUGGCAGCUGUGGGCAGUUGUCCUUGGUGUCCUGAUGCCCAUCCCCAUCGCUAAUCAGAAGAACAGGUUGGUGAAAGUCCCGAACUUUGUCUCCCCACCCAGAGGACAACUGGCCAGGAAAUCUGCCUGUUUCUUGUCUCACCCUCUAGUCCACACUCUGCCUAACACUACGCCCUACCUCACAUUCCUAUUGACAUCUGCUGCAGGUAAUCUCUCCUCACCCAGGCCAACGUCCACAAGCCUGCCUCCCUAUUUCACAGAGACUUCCUAGCUUCCCUGCUUCAUCCCCACCUGAUCCAAAUUCUCACAGGUCCCCCAGCCACCCCUUCAGCCCCAGGCCUGCACCAUCCCCAUCCACGUCGUUGUCACAGGCAUCUCCUUCCCCAUUGCCAUCUGUGUCCUUCUGGUCAUUGUUGGGAACGUUGGGGCAAUUGUCACAGGCAUCACCAAAUGAAUCUGUAUCUGA
rnacentral:lncRNA from 1 species